rnacentral:rRNA from 1 species
UACAGGGGGAGCAAGCGUUAUCCGGAAUGAUUGGGCGUAAAGCAUUCGUAGGUGGUAGGUGAAGUCUACUGUCAAAUACCAGGGCUCAACCUUGGACAGGCAGUGGAGUACUCAUUUACUAGAGCGUGGUAGAGGUAGAGGGAAUUCCCCGUGGAGCGGUGAAAUGCGUAGAGAUGGGGAAGAACACCGGCGGCGAAAGCACUCUGCUGGGCCGACACUGACACUGAGAGACGAAAGCUAGGGGAGCGAAUGGG